GCCUGGCUAGUCUAGUUGGUAGACCAUGAGACUCUUAAUCUCAGGGUUGUGGGUUAGUGCCCCACAUUGGGUG
rnacentral:tRNA from 1 species